CGCGGAGAUGGUACAGUCCACCGGCGGUUCAAGUUUCUGCGCCGGGAGGACGCGGCCUCGGCCAAUCCCAGGGCUACAGGGCGCUUUUAAAAUGCAGCAAACUGCAGAGCAGCAGGUGCCUGGAACCCGACUGCCCGGCUUAAGAAAUCACCACUUUCGCCGGCCCCUGGAGCCCCUCCUGGUCACCUGGCCAGCCCACCUGACCCCAGGAUCCUGGACUCAGGCAGCCACUCAGUGCCCAUCUGCUCCUGGAAGCAUUUGAUGAUGGAUACAGCAGAGAUUCAUGGAUGAGAACACUGAAAAUUCAACCAGAGGCACUCACUGUUUUGAUAAAGCAGAGCCCCCCAGACCUACCCCCGGGCAAGCUAAGUAUCCCUGCUCCAAAAGGCAGUGCGUCCUGCUGGGUAAGCGCAUGGUCCCUGGGCUCAAAUCCUGGCGCUUCUGCUUGUUUCCUGUGUGACCCUGGACAAGUGACUUCAGCUGCUGCUCUGUUUCCCCAUCUGUACAACAGGGCAAAGCUCAAGGUCACUGUGAGG